AUACGUAGGGUGCAAGCGUUAAUCGGAAUUACUGGGCGUAAAGCGUGCGCAGGCGGUUUUGUAAGACAGUGGUGAAAUCCCCGGGCUCAAACUGGGAACUGCCAUUGUGACUGCAAGGCUGGAGUGCGGCAGAGGGGGGUGGAAUUCCGGGGGUAGCAGUGAAAUGCGUAGAUAUGCGGAGGAACACCGAUGGCGAAGGCAAUCCCCUGGGCCUGCACUGACGCUCAUGCACGAAAGCGUGGGGAGCAAACAGGAUUAGAUACCCUGGUAGUCCACGCCCUAAACGAUGUCAACUGGUUGUUGGGUCUUCAUUGACUCAGUAACGAAGCUAACGCGUGAAGUUGACCGCCUGGGGAGUACGGCCUCAAGGUUGAAACUCAAAGGAAUUGACGGGG
rnacentral:rRNA from 1 species